AACGAACGCUGGCGGCGUGUUUAAGACAUGCAAGUCGCACGGGAUAAGACAUGUAGUAAUACUUGUUUUAUUCAGUGGCGCACGGGUGAGUAACACGUGAAUUACAUGCCCUAUAGUGGGGAAUAGCCCAGGGAAACUUGGAUUAAUACCCCAUGGUAUCGAAAGAUUAAAGGUGGCCGCAAGGCUGUCGCUAUAGGAUUGGUUCGCGCCCUAUCAGCUUGUUGGUGAGGUAACGGCUCACCAAGGCAAUGACGGGUACCUGGUCUGCGAGGACGAGCAGGCACACUGGAACUGAGACACGGUCCAGACACCUACGGGUGGCAGCAGUAGGGAAUAAUUCACAAUGGGGGCAACCCUGAUGGUGCAACGCCGCGUGGAGGAUGACGGUCUUCGGAUUGUAAACUCCUGUCAUCUGGGAGAAAGACCUGACGGUAAAUAGCCGGCAGGGUUGAUAGUACCAGAAGAGGAAGGGACGGCUAACUUCGUGCCAGCCGCCGCCGUAA
rnacentral:rRNA from 1 species